rnacentral:rRNA from 1 species
UACGUAGGGUGCAAGCGUUGUCCGGAAUUAUUGGGCGUAAAGAGCGUGUAGGCGGCCAGGUAGGUCUGCUGUGAAAACUCGAGGCUCAACCUCGAGACGUCGGCGGAAACCAUCUGGCUAGAGUCCGGAAGAGGAGAGUGGAAUUCCUGGUGUAGCGGUGAAAUGCGUAGAUAUCGGGAGGAACACCAGUGGCGAAGGCGGCGAUCUGGGUCGAUACUGACGCUGAGGCGCGAAAGCCAGGGGAGCAAACGGG